rnacentral:rRNA from 1 species
AUACGUAGGGGGCGAGCGUUGUCCGGAAUGAUUGGGCGUAAAGGGCGCGUAGGCGGCCCGGUAAGUCUGGAGUGAAAGUCCUGUUUUUAAGAUGGGAAUUGCUUUGGAUACUGUCGGGCUUGAGUGCAGGAGAGGUAAGUGGAAUUCCCAGUGUAGCGGUGAAGUGCGUAGAGAUUGGGAGGAACACCAGUGGCGAAGGCGACUUACGGGACGGUAACUGACGCUGAGGAGCGAAAGCGUGGGGAGCAAACAGGAUUAGAUACCCUGGUAGGCCACGCCGUAAACGAUGAAUACUAGGUGUAGGGGGUAUCGACUCCCUCUGUGCCGCAGUUAACACAAUAAGUAUUCCGCCUGGGGAGUACGGCCGCAAGGUUGAAACUCAAAUGAAUUGGCGGG